UGGGGAAUAUUGGACAAUGGGCGCAAGCCUGAUCCAGCCAUGCCGCGUGAGUGAUGAAGGUCUUAGGAUUGUAAAAGCUCUUUCACCGGAGAAGAUAAUGACGGUAUCCGGAGAAGAAGCCCCGGCUAACUUCGUGCC
rnacentral:rRNA from 1 species